AGUCGAACGGAAAGGCCUGCAGCUUAGCUAGCGGGUACUCGAGUGGCGAACGGGUGAGUAACACGUGGGUGAUCUGCCUUGCACUUCGGGAUAAGCUUGGGAAACUGGGUCUAAUACCGGAUAGGACAGCUGUUUAGUGUCAGUUGUGGAAAGUUUUUUCGGUGCAAGAUGAGCUCGCGGCCUAUCAGCUUGUUGGUGGGGUAAUGGCCUACCGAAGGCGUCGACGGGUAGCCGGCCUGAAGGGUGUACGGCCACUUUGGGACUGAAUACGGCCCAGACUCCUACGGGAGGCAGCAGUGGGGAAUAUUGCACAAUGGGCGGAAGCCUGAUGCAGCGACGCCGCGUGGGGGAUGAAGGCCUUCGGGUUGUAAACUCCUUUCGACAGGGACGAAGCGUAAGUGACGGUACCUGUAUAGAAGCACCGGUUAACUACGUGCCAGAAGCCGCGGUAAUCACGUAGGGUGCGAGCGUUGUCCGGAAUUACUGGGCGUAAAGAGCUCGUAAGGUGGUCUUGCGCGUCCGUCUGUGAAAUUCCGGGGCUUACUCCGGGCGUGCAGGCGAUCACGGGCUGACUUGAGUGCUGUAGGGACGACUUGGAAUUCCUUGGUGUACCGGGUGAAAUGGCAAUCAUCCAGGAGGAACCCCGAUGGCGCAAGGCAGGGUCUCUUGGGCCAGUCACACUGACGGCUGAAGGGAGGCGAAAACGCCAUGGGGUACGAACAAGGAUAUAGAUCCCCCUGGGUAGCUACCAACGCCAG
rnacentral:rRNA from 1 species